rnacentral:rRNA from 1 species
UCUUUUUUUUAUUGCGUCACGCGACGACGGGGUAUGUGCGAAGAAAUAUUUUAAUUAUAUUGUUUUGGACGGUCGGUGGCCGUUUUAUGCCGUGGUAGAUCGGGGUUUCGCGUCGGGUGAGCUCGGAGGGGUUGAAUCGCCGAGAUGGAGCUGGAGGGGAAGGGAUAAGGAGAAACGGAGUGCAGAACAUGUCGAAUGCGAUCAUACCAGCACUAAAGCACCGGAUCCCAUCAGAACUCCGAAGUUAAGCGUGCUUGGGCGAGAGUAGUACUAGGAUCGGUGACCUCCUGGGAAGUUCUCGUGUUGCAUCCC